rnacentral:piRNA from 1 species
UGACUUUCAAAAGUUGUGCUGCUCUUUC